rnacentral:rRNA from 1 species
GACGAACGCUGGCGGCGUGCUUAACACAUGCAAGUCGAACGGAGAGGCUCGGGCUUGCUGGCGUGGACGAGUGGCGAACGGGUGAGUAACACGUGAGGAACCUGCCCCUGACUCUGGGAUAAGCGCUGGAAACGGCGGCUAAUACAGGAUACGAGAUGGUUCCGCAUGGGGACUUUCUGUAAAGUUCGGCGGUUGGGGAUGGGCUCGCGGGUUAUCAGCUUGUUGGUCAGGUAGUGGCUGACCAAGGCAACGAUGGGUAGCCGGCCUGGGAGGGCGAACGGGCACCAUGGGCCUGCGGCAGGGCCCAGAAUCCAAUGGGAGGCAGCAGGGGGGAACAUUGCGGAAUGGGGGCAAGCCUGAUGCAGCGACGCCGGGUGCGGGAUGACGGCCUUCGGGGUGUAAACCUAUUUCAGCAGGGAAGAAGCGAAAGUGACGGUACCUGCAGAAGAAGCACCGGCUAACUACGUG